rnacentral:rRNA from 1 species
GAUGAACGCUGGCGGCGUGCCUAAUACAUGCAAGUCGAGCGAACGGACGAGAAGCUUGCUGUGUUGACGUUAGCGGCGGAGGGGUGAGAAACACGUGGAUAAUCCACCUAUAUUAGUGGGAUAACUUCGGGAAACCGGAGCUAACCCCGGAUAAUAUUUUGAACCGUAUUGUUGAUAAGUGAAAGUCGGCCUUUCUGUCUCUUCUAGAUGCAUCCCCGCUGUAUUAGCUAGUUGGUAAGGUCACGGCUUACCACGGCAACGAUGCAUAGCCGACCUGAGAGGGUGAUCGGCCACACUAGAGCUGGAACGCGGCCCAGGCUCCUGCGAGACGCAGCAGUAGGGUAUCUGCGGCAGUAGUCGGGAGUCUGACAGAACGACCCGGCGCGAGAGGUAGAGGUCCUCGGAGCGUGAAACUGUGUUAUUAGGGAAGAACAUCUGUAUAAGUAGCUGAGCACUUAUUGACGGUACCGGGUCAGGAAGCAACGGCUAACUACGUG